GCAAGGAAUGUGCCAGCGGCCAAUCUGAUGAACAUGUGACAGAAGAUUUGGCAAUGGGUGAAGAAAUACUGAGAUUGAAAUGCAACCACAGGUGGAGGCUUCAACCAAACUUUUCAGACAGACAUGAGAUACAAAGAUACACAAGUAUAAAUGGUUGAAGGUUUAGGAGAGCCAGACAAGAAGGCAGGAAAUGUGAUGUCACUUUUACUUCAAUGAACAUGGACAGCAGCAGGAGCAACAACAGCAUCAGCAGCUGAAACUACAACUGCAGUAAGAGAUGCAAUAACCACACCGACAACAUCAACAGCAGCAGGAGCUCCAACAACCAUGCAGGGAACAUCGGGCGCAACAUAAAUAACUUCAUCAAGAGAUGCAACAACCACAGUGGUAAACAUCAACAGCAGUAGCAACAACGACAGUAGAAACAAAGCCAACAGCAAGGAUUCUAAUAAGCAAUCAUACAAGCAACAACACAAGCGACAACAUCAAUAGAUGCAUCAGGAGAUGCAACAGCCACACUCGUAAACAGCAGCAGUAGCAGCGAUGACAACAGCAACCACACAGG